AACGUAUUGUCGGAAUAGAUUAGCGCCGGCUUGACGCAAAUCCCUUAAAACUAAAACACACUAUGUGUUUCAAUCAAACGACUGAUCAAACGUGAUGUCCCGUUCGAGCAGAAGUUCUGUUUAUGCCGAUGAGACACAAGUGAAGCCGAAACUUGUCUUGGCUUAGCAGGCCUAUGCGAAAGCACUAUGCUAUAUUUCACCCUAAAGCUAAGUAUGCACCUCUUGCGAAAUGAAAUUUCCUAUACAAAACCUAUGCAUAAAAAACGUCGCGAAAUGCUCGCGAAAAAUUUUUUCAUUUCCAUUUCGUAAGCGGUACGCAGCUCUCGCGAAAACGAUACCGAAAUUUCCAAUUAGCCGAGACACGGUUCGACAAACGAUAAGUUUCAUAUUACUUCCGCGAGAUUGCGCUGCUUUCUAUGCGCUGUCACUACGGCAAGCUUUUUCCUUGCGAAAUAAUGAUCAGUGGUAUUAUUCCGCUCGGAGGCUUGCGAAAUUUUGACAGAAUGCGAUAAAAAAAUACAAAAAAAAACAAGAUUUGUGAAUUUUUUGUAUUUUUUCAUCACAAGCUGUCAACAUGUAUAGAAUUUGCUUUUGCGAUGCAAUCGGUCGAAACGAUGGCAAGUGCUGCUGAUAACUGAGUCAAAAAGGCAGAGGAUCAGGAAAUUUAUGCUCUCGUAAGUGCCUAACCUGUUUUUGGAGCGAUCAUUGUUUCAUAGGAUUUGUAUUUUUCUUUUCAAUACAAAAGGUAGCGAUCCGAGUAUCCCCAAGGAUAAGAAACCGGAGCCGGCGGUUGGCAGUCCGGAAAAAGAGGAUGCGAAAAAACCUAGUCCAUCGGCAGUAGAACCAGCGACGGUUACUCCCGUAGAAACGGCUGAACCUGCAGUUUUGAGUUCGUUAAUUAUGGAAAUUCUGACUGGCUGCUCCUGAAGAAAGACAAGCUGCUAGUGGAAAUAGAAAAACAGCUUCCUACACGGAAGAUGCAGAUGCAUUCAACCCGGAGGAUGCAAAAAAACUUUCGAAGCUUUGCACAUGAAGCCGGAACUGCUUCAGGGAGUCUAUGCUAUGGAUUCCAACGCCCCUUCCAAGAUUCAGGAAACGGCUCUACCUACUCUGUUGGCCGAUCCGCCCAGCACAUGAUCGCCCAGUCAGUCAGAAACAAGAAAAACCGCUGCUUUCGCGCGGACAAUGCUCAGUCGAGUCGAUCCGUUAAAAAAACUAUCCGCAGGUGAUUUGCCUUUCCCUUACGUAUGAACUGGCAAAUCAGAAGGGGGUAGCAGUUGCCAAAAUUACAAAGUUAUGUCCGGAAAUCAAAUUUAGUUACCUCAUCCGCGGCGAGGAGAUUGUCAAAGGGGCGAAGCUGAUUAAUCAUAUCAUCAUCGAAACACCCGGUAAGCUGAUGGACUGGAAUAUAAAAUUCAGGCGUUCGACCUUGAGAAAUUGCCGUUUGUGUACUAAACGAAGCGGGCGUUAUGAUCGCUGUUCUUGGCCACGUACGAGCGGGAGGUAAUGGAGUUCGCCGAGUACAUCUUACCCGAUCCGAUCGUGAUUCAGCUAGCGCGGGAGCAAGAAUCACUAGAUAACAUCAAACAGCACUACAAUAAGUACCGCAACCAGGACGAGAAAUAUCAAGCAAUUUCGAUCAUCUUUGGCGUGAUUACCAUCGGAUAUGCGAUCAUUUUCUGUCGUGUGAGUAUAGGACAGUUGUGAUUGGCAUUGUUAAUCGAUGGAAACAGACACGCAAAACGGCCGAUAGGAUGGUCAUUCGGUAGCGGUACUGUCCGGUGAUUUAACGGUGGAGCAAUGGUUUGCCGGUCUGAAUCGAUUCCGAGCCGGACUAAAGAAGGUAUUGAUUACAACGAACGUUUUGUCUUGGGGUAUCGAUGUCGAACAGGUGACCAUUGUAAACUUCAUCCUGUCGAUGGAUCAGUAGAGACGAGCCGAUUGCGAAACGUAUCUGCAUCGAAUUGGACGCACCGGUAAAUUCUGCAUCGCCAUCAACCUGGUGGGCAGUGAUCGAAGCAUGAUGAUUUGCAGAUCAUUCGAAAAACACUUCCAGAAAAAGAUUCAGCUGCUAGACGCGGAGAAUUCGGACGUUAUUGAAAAGAUCGGAUCGUAGUCUUUUCGACCAGCUACUGGUGAAAGGCGCUGGAGCUUUUUUGGUUCAUUAUUGUUCCGAUUGUGAAUCUAUAACUUUAUUUAGCUCUAUCAGUUGAUUUCCUUAGGAUUUAAUUCAAGGAUCGGUAACGCGAGGAUUGUGAAGUGCAUGUUUAAUUGUUAUAACUUGGAGUUAAGUGAACCACAGAUAACAGACGUUUAAGCUCGAUUUGAAUCGUGUAUAAAAGCCCGCUACUGAAAUUCCGAAUAAAUUAGACGUCUGAAACACGUUUGGCAAACGUUUGCAGAUGACGCAGUGAUCAAUACAAUGCAGUUAGAGUGCAGCUGUUAAACACGUGUAGCAAACAGUUGCGCAGAUGGCAAUAGUGAAACACGGAUUUCCAACGUUUAUCAAUUUGAAAGUUUACACAGGUUUUUGAAGAAAUUUUGUUCUAGCCUAAACGUCUGUUAUCUGUGGGUAAACUCUUGAAGAAAACGACUUUGUUUUUUUAUUUUGUCGUUGGACGGCCAGUAGAGUAAAGUGGCAAGAAUUUUUCCAAAACACCUUGAAGAAGAAGAUGAAAAAUAUUUUGUUCAAUACCAUGUAAAUAAAUAUUUCAAGAAGAUAGAA